UACAGAGGUCUCAAGCGUUGUUCGGAUUCAUUGGGCGUAAAGGGUGCGUAGGCGGCGGGGCAAGUCUGAUGUGAAAUCCCGGGGCUCAACCCCGGAACUGCAUUGGAUACUGCCUUGCUAGAGUACUGGAGAGGAAACUGGAAUUUACGGUGUAGCAGUGAAAUGCGUAGAGAUCGUAAGGAAGACCAGUGGCGAAGGCGAGUUUCUGGACAGUUACUGACGCUGAGGCACGAAGGCCAGGGGAGCAAACGGG
rnacentral:rRNA from 1 species